AAGUCGUAACAAGGUUUCCGUAGGUGAACCUGCGGAAGGAUCAUUAUCGAAUGAACGUAGAGUCGGUUGUAGCUGGCCUUGCAAAAGGCAUGUGCACGCCUUCUCUUUCAUCCACACACCCCUGUGCACUUGUGAGACGGAGGCUUAUUUCUUCCCUUUCAUUUGGGGAGAUCAUCAGUUUCCGUCUGCUACUACACAAAUUCAUAUAUUUAAUUCUGAAUGUAAUUGAUGUAACGCAUCUAUAUACAAAGUUUCAACAACGGAUCUCUUGGCUCUC
rnacentral:misc_RNA from 1 species